UACGAAGGGGGCGAGCGUUGUUCGGAAUCACUGGGCGUAAAGGGCGCGUAGGCGGCCCUCUUAGUCGCGUGUGAAAACUCGAGGCUCAACCUCGAGACGCCGAUGGAAACCGUCUGGCUAGAGUCCGGAAGAGGAGAGUGGAAUUCCUGGUGUAGCGGUGAAAUGCGCAGAUAUCAGGAAGAACACCCGUGGCUAAGGCGGCUCUCUAGUACGGUACUGACGCUGAGACGCGAAAGCGUGGGGAGCGAACAGG
rnacentral:rRNA from 1 species